UACGAAGGGGGCUAGCGUUGUUCGGAAUUACUGGGCGUAAAGGGCGCGUAGGCGGCGUGUCAAGUCAGGCGUGAAAGCCCCGGGCUCAACCUGGGAACCGCGCUUGAGACUGGCAUGCUCGAGUUCGGGAGAGGAUGGUGGAAUUCCCAGUGUAGAGGUGAAAUUCGUAGAUAUUGGGAAGAACACCGAUGGCGAAGGCAGCUCGCUGGGACGGUACUGACGCUGAGGCGGCGAAAGCGUGGGGAGCAACAGG
rnacentral:rRNA from 1 species